rnacentral:rRNA from 1 species
GAGUUUGAUCAUGGCUCAGAUUGAACGCUGGCGGCAGGCUUAACACAUGCAAGUCGAACGAUGAUUACUAGCUUGCUAGUAUGAUUAGUGGCGAACGGGUGAGUAAUGCUUAGGAAUCUGCCUAUUAGUGGGGGACAACAUUCCGAAAGGAAUGCUAAUACCGCAUACGUCCUACGGGAGAAAGCAGGGGAUCGUUUGACCUUGCGCUAAUAGAUGAGCCUAAGUCGGAUUAGCUAGUUGGUGGGGUAAAGGCCUACCAAGGCGACGAUCUGUAGCUGGUCUGAGAGGAUGAUCAGCCACACUGGGACUGAGACACGGCCCAGACUCCUACGGGAGGCAGCAGUGGGGAAUAUUGGACAAUGGGCGAAAGCCUGAUCCAGCCAUGCCGCGUGUGUGAAGAAGGCCUUUUGGUUGUAAAGCACUUUAAGUGGGGAGGAAAAGCUAAUAAUUAAUACCUAUAGCCCUGACGUACCCC